rnacentral:tRNA from 1 species
GCUCAACUAGCUCAGUCAAUAGAGCAUGAGAUUUCUCAAUCUCAGGGUUGUGGGUUCAUGUCCCACAUUGGGCA